rnacentral:tRNA from 1 species
UCUCUGGUGGCUUAGACAGUAAAGAAUCUGCCUGCAAUGCAGAAGACCUGGGUUCGACCCCUGGAUUGAGAA